UUCACAGGUGGAGAUUGGAGAGUGUAGCAGAGCAGACAGAACAACCGAGAAGUUGUUGUCGUUGAUUCAACCAACUGAGGGACAUCGCCACCAACAUCAAUCGCCAGCUCCCUCAACACCAGAUGCUUCGAGAUACCGACGGAGAGGGUACUGACAUGUUGUGAAAGCACUUAGAUCUACGACAACAACAUGAAGUCCAACACCACACUGGAAAUGCAGGUGGCAACCAGAUUGGAUUUCAGAAGAACAACACGUGGCAUGGGCAUGUCAUACGCCACGAUGCUGCUACUUCACUGACAAGUGGGGUAGAAUCAUGUUACGAUGAGACUAGAAAGAAGCACAACAAGAACAGAAGACUAUAAGAAAGAAGAGAAGA